UCCGAGUUAUCCCCGGCAGUCUCCUGUGAGGGUCCGGCCGAACCGACCCCGUGUUUCCACGGGUGCGACCCACAUGUCAAGCCCAGGUAAGGUUCUUCGCGUUGCGUCGAAUUAAACCACAUGCUCCGCUGCUUGUGCGGGCCCCCGUCAAUUCCUUUGAGUUUUAGCCUUGCGGCCGUACUCCCCAGGCGGGGCACUUAAUGCGUUAGCUGCGGCACGGAAUCCGUCGAUAGGACCCCACACCUAGUGCCCAACGUUUACGGCGUGGACUAC
rnacentral:misc_RNA from 1 species